UUUGCACAGGGGUCAAAACAAACCAAACAUUCCACACAGUCAAAACUAUUACAUUUAUUAAUCCUAUUAUCUCAACCAUUAAUUUGCAUAACUUUUAGCAAAAUUAGAGCUUGGAACUUUUGACCCCUGUACAAAAUGGAAAUUGACCUUUGUCACCAUUCUUGCGGUUUUUACCCCAUAACUCCAGAACC